ACUGAGCGGCGGACGGGUGAGUAACGCGUGGGCAACCUGCCUUACACAGGGGGGAUAACAGUUAGAAAUGACUGCUAAUACCGCAUAAGACCACAGGACUGCAUGGUCCGGUGGUAAAAACUCCGGUGGUGUAAGAUGGGCCCGCGUCUGAUUAGGUAGUUGGCGGGGUAACGGCCCACCAAGCCGACGAUCAGUAGCCGACCUGAGAGGGUGACCGGCCACAUUGGGACUGAGACACGGCCCAGACUCCUACGGGAGGCAGCAG
rnacentral:rRNA from 1 species